GACGAACCGUCCAAACGCUAUUCGGAAUCACUGGGCUUACAGAGUUCGUAGGCGGUCUGGAAAGUUGGGUGUGAAAUCCCUCGGCUCAACCGAGGAACUGCGCUCAAAACUGCCAGACUCGAGGGAGAUAGAGGAAAGCGGAACUGAUGGUGGAGCGGUGAAAUGCGUUGAUAUCAUCAGGAACACCGGUGGCGAAGGCGGCUUUCUGGGUCUUACCUGACGCUGAGGAACGAAAGCUAGGGGAGCGAACGGG
rnacentral:rRNA from 1 species